UACGUAGGGGCGAGCGUUGUCCGGAAUCAUUGGGCGUAAAGGGUGCGUAGGCGGCCUUUUAAGUCAGAUGUGAAAGACCCGUGCUUAACAUGGGGAUUGCAUUUGAAACUGGAGGGCUUGAGUAUGGGAGAGGCAAGCGGAAUUCCCGGUGUAGCGGUGAAAUGCGUAGAGAUCGGGAGGAACACCAGUGGCGAAGGCGGCUUGCUGGACCAAAACUGACGCUGAGGCACGAAAGCGUGGGGAGCAAACAGGAUUAGAUACCCUGGUAGUCCCU
rnacentral:rRNA from 1 species